rnacentral:rRNA from 1 species
CCCUUAGAGUUUGAUCCUGGCUCAGGAUGAACGCUAGCGGCAGGCUUAAUACAUGCAAGUCGAGGGGCAGCAGGGGUAGCAAUACCCGCUGGCGACCGGCAAACGGGUGCGGAACACGUACACAACUUUCCUUUAAGUGGGGAAUAGCCCGGGGAAACCCGGUUUAAUACCCCGUAAUAUUAUGAAGUGGCAUCAUUUUAUAAUUAUAGCUCCGGCGCUUAAAGAUGGGUGUGCGGCUGAUUAGGUAGUUGGCGGGGUAACGGCCCACCAAGCCUACGAUCAGUAACUGGUGUGAGAGCACGACCAGUCACACGGGCACUGAGACACGGGCCCGACUCCUACGGGAGGCAGCAGUAAGGAAUAUUGGUCAAUGGACGCAAGUCUGAACCAGCCAUGCCGCGUGGAGGAUGAAGGUCCUCUGGAUUGUAAACUUCUUUUAUUUGGGAAGAAAUCCAUAUUUUCUAAUGUGGUUGACGGUACCAGAUGAAUAAGCACCGGCUAACUCCGUGCCAGCAGCCGCGGUAAUACGGAGGGUGCAAGCGUUAUCC